AGAGUUUGAUCCUGGCUCAGAACGAACGCUGGCGGCAGGCUUAACACAUGCAAGUUGAACGGGAUUUGUGUGGUGCUUGCACCAUAUAAUGAGAGUAGCGCACUGGUGAGUAACACGUGGGAACGUGCCUUUUAGUGGGGGAUAACAUCUGGAAACGGAUGCUAAUACCGCAUACGCCCUGAGGGGGAAAGAUUUAUUGCUAAAAGGUCGGCCCGCGGUAGAUUAGGCAGUUGGUGGGGUAAAGGCCUACCAAACCUACGAUCUAUAGCUGGUCUGAGAGGACGAUCAGCCACAUUGGAACUGAGACACGGUCCAGACUCCUACGGGAGGCAGCAGUGAGGAAUAUUGGGCAAUGGAGGCAACUCUGACCCAGCCAUGCCGCGUGAGUGAGAAGGUUUUCGAAUUGUAAAGCUCUUUCAGGUGUGAAGAUGAUGACGGUAACACCAGAAGAAGCCCCGGCAAACUUCGUGCCAGCAGCCGCGGUAAUACGAAGGGGGCGAGCGUUGUUCGGAAUUACUGGGCGUAAAGGGUGUGUAGGCAGUUUAGUAAGAUAGUGGUGAAAUGCCGGAGCUCAACUUCGGAAUUGCCAUUAUGACUAUUAAGCUAGAAUGAUGUAGAGGAUAGCGGAAUACCCAGUGUAGAGGUGAAAUUCGUAGAUAUUGGGUAGAACACCAGAGGCGAAGGCGGCUAUCUGGGCAUUUAUUGACGCUGAGGCACGAAAGCAUGGGGAUCAAACAGGAUUAGAUACCCUGGUAGUCCAUGCUGUAAACGAUGAAUGCUAGUUGUUGGAGAUAUCCAGUGACGCAGUUAACACAAUAAGCAUUCCGCCUGGGGAGUACGGUCGCAAGAUUAAAACUCAAAGGAAUUGACGGGGACCCGCACAAGCGGUGGAGCAUGUGGUUUAAUUCGAAGCAACGCGAAGAACCUUACCAGGUCUUGACAUCCCCCUGACAGGGCAUGUAAUGUGCCUUUCCUUCGGGACAGGGGAGACAGGUGGUGCAUGGUUGUCGUCAGCUCGUGUCGUGAGAUGUUGGGUUAAGUCCCGCAACGAGCGCAACCCCUGCAUCCUGUAGCCAGCAUAUCAGAUGGGAACUCAGGAAGGACUGCCCGGGAGAACCGGGAGGAAGGCGGGGAUGACGUCAAAUCAUCAUGCCCCUUAUGGUCUGGGCUACACACGUGCUACAAUGGCGUAAACAAAGGGAAGCGAGCCCGCGAGGGGAAGCGAAUCCCAAAAAUAACGUCCCAGUUCGGAUUGCAGUCUGCAACUCGGGUGCAUGAAGCUGGAAUCGCUAGUAAUCGCGGAUCAGAAUGCCGCGGUGAAUACGUUCCCGGGUCUUGUACACACCGCCCGUCACACCAUGGGAGUCGGAAAUGCCCGAAGUCGGUGACCCAACCGUAAGGAGGGAGCCGCCGAAGGCAGGUCGGAUAACUGGGGUGAAGUCGUAACAAGGUAGCCGUAUCGGAAGGUGCGGCUG
rnacentral:rRNA from 1 species